UACGUAGGUGGCAAGCGUUGUCCGGAUUUACUGGGCGUAAAGGAUGCGUAGGCGGACAUUUAAGUCAGAUGUGAAAUACCCGAGCUUAACUUGGGUGCUGCAUUUGAAACUGGGUGUCUAGAGUGCAGGAGAGGUAAGUGGAAUUCCUAGUGUAGCGGUGAAAUGCGUAGAGAUUAGGAAGAACACCGGUGGCGAAGGCGGCAUCCUGGACCGAUAUUGACGCUGAUGCGCGAAAGCCAGGGGAGCAAACGGG
rnacentral:rRNA from 1 species